rnacentral:lncRNA from 10 species
GGGCCCACCGGCUUGAGGCUGCCUUUCCCGGCGUUCCCUCGUUUAUUGGCUCACUCUUCCUUUCAUCCAUCCAUCCUUUGCGCAACAAUAUUUGAUGGGAAGCCUGCCAAGAGGCAGGGAGAAAGACACAUGGGCAGGAGAAUACCACAUGGAGACACAGACACACGAGGGGAGGAUGCCUGCUGACCAUGGAGGCAGAAGUGGGACUGACGCAUCGAUCAGCUGAGGGAUGCCAAGCACUGCCAGCAAACACCAGAGGCUUGAUGGGGGCGAGUAUUCUCCUGUGCAGGUAUCAGAGGGAGCCUGGCCUUGCAGAUACCUUGAUUCCUGACUUCUGGCCUCUAAAAUGAUUUCACCUGAUUCUUGGCCACAAAGUUUCAAGGGAACCAGAGCUAAUGAAGACAGCAUGGAAGGGCACCGCCGAGACCUACCUGUGGGAGUCCACCUCACCCUCAAGAACAGCUACCAUUUUAACACAGAUGGAUAAACCCCAUGAAAGUGAACUUCCUAAAUGCAAAUUCUGAUCUUGAAGCCCCAGCUGGCACAUCUACUGGAGACCCUCCCAAGCAACAAGAUGUAGAUGCUUUAGAGAUAACAAACUAUACAAGUUGUCUUCCAUUCUUUCUCCUUCCUCUAUUUUCAACACGGAUAAAAUACAUAUAUAUUUAUCUUGCUGAGCUCAGUAGGAUUAUUUAGCUUUAUUUCCAUGGCUGCCUUUUCUUAAUGUAAUAGAAUUUCCAAUCGAGCUUAUUACUUCCUUCCGUCACAAGCCUGAGGUCCUUUCACACCCAUCCUGUCCUUGGCAAAGAUCUUUGGAAAGUAGCCUGGGACAUACCUAGUGGUAAGCCACCUGCUCUGGGUUGAGGGUGGAUCUAUUCUAGUCAGAGGCUUUGUGAUCUGGACAAAGGAAUUGAGUAUGUGGCUGUCAAACUGUCAGGCAAUACUAAAUUUGGCUGGCCAGCUGAAUUCUAGCAGAAAAUCAUGCAAAAUAAGGUUUAGCAAUUGGGGAAAAAUGGCCCACAGGAAAAACAAAGGGAUGAAAUUCCGUAGGACUACACGGCCAUAGAAUUCUAACUUGAGGGCUGCAACCAGCUAUGUGACCUUGUAGUACAAGGACCAGUCUUCAGAUACAAAAUAGAGUUUGGAGUUAAAGGGAUCUUUGAGAAGAAGCCAUUAUCCACCCCCUCCUCCCAAUUUUAUAUGCCCUAAGAAAAAGGUUUCUUUCAACUUAGAAAGGUAUGAUUCUUGAAGUGCACUUCCUCCGAGUUUUCCUGAGCCUCUCAAUCAAAAUGACUUGCACCUGCCCAUCCAUUCCCAUUGGCUUAUGCUCCUACCCUGCAGUAUUGGCUUCAUUAUGCCUCACCUUGUACACCUGUCUGAUUCCUCUCCUAGAUUAUCAGCACCUUGACAAUGGGCUCGUAUCUUGUGUAUCCCUGAAUUUCCAGGGACAAUGAUAGUGCCUGCCACAUAAUUGAUGGUCAAUAAAUUUUGGUUAAAUAGUAACAAGAAACUCCCAUUUAAAAAAUGUGUUAUCGUUAUCAUUCUCAAUCUGGAUGCUCUCCUCUAUACACAGUUUUAUUCAGUAACUCUCUUAAAAUUGUAAAGGUGAGAAAUUGAACACAGUUUCCCAGGUCUUUGAGCAGCACGAGAUACAGGGAGAAAAAAAAUGCUUUGUGCUUGAAUACUUUACUUCUGAUUGGAGAAAAUAAACACUGCACUGGAUUAUUUUUAAAGAUACAUCACAUUACGUUUGUGAUCAACUGAAAUGCUAAGAUAUUUGCAUGUGGAUUUCUGCCAAGCUGCUUUUCUCCCAUUCUUCAUGUGUGUGAUUGAUCUUGAAAUCAAAUGGUGGGACUUUAUAUAUUUUUUUGUUUUAACUCAAGGUAAAGUCUGACAAAAAUCACGUUAAAUUUGAUGCUGUCAGUGAAGACAUUAGCAAUCCUUCCUGGCUUAAGGUCACUGGCAAAUUUGAUAUACUUAUCUUUUGUGGGGUUUUUUUGUUGGUUUUUUUAAGACAGGGUCCCACUCUGUCACCCAAGUUAGAGUACAGUGGCUUGAAAAUGGCUCACUGAAGCCUCGACCUCCCAGGCUUAAGCAAUCCUCCCACCUCAGCCUCCUGAGUAGCUGGGACUACAGGCAUGCACCACAAUGUCUGGCUGAAUUUUUUUUUUUUUUUUUUUUUUUUGUAGAGAUGUGGUCUUCCUAUGGUUCCCAGGCUGGUCUUGAACUCCUGGGCUCAACCAAUCCUCCCACCUUGGCCUCCCAAAGUGCUGAGAUUAUAGGCAUAAGCCACAACAUGCAGCCGUCUUUUCCGUUUUUAUCCCACUCUUUGACAAUGUUGGAAGGAUUAGGACUAGCUCUAAUAAGAGUCACCCCCUUCAUAUUGGGUAAUCAACCAACAGCUAGAAAUGUACACUGAAAUACUACCAGACAUCCCUUAUUUUACCAUCUUAUCCACAAAGAUCUUACAGAUGACAUUUUAAAAACAUUGUCUAAAGCACAGAAAUACUUUUAAGCACAGUAGCCCCUGAAGCUUGCCAGCCAAAUAAUCUAUUAAAACUUAAAUGAAACAAGGCAAGUAUGGUGCAUGCGUAUGGUGGCUGUGGUACUGGUGGCAUGCUUUUUUAAAUUCUACAGUCUCCUCCAACCACCCUCUGCUUUUUAAGUAAGUCUAAUUUAGCAUAUGCCUUGGCAUUCAUAUUAGGCUGACUUUCCACGACUGGCAUCCC